CCACCUUAGGGAAGCUUGGGGGAGCCACUCCUCCCUCACGGCAGCCAUGGCAUUCGGGGGAGCUGUCAGUCACCGGGCUUGGAGCACACAGCUGCACUUCUGGAGAUAUUAGAUGCAACUGUUGCAAAUUAUGCACUAAUUCUUCAGGACUUCUGGGCCACAAAUUAGAAUAUGAAGAGACAGAAGAAAAUAGACUCUCAGCACCACAGAGAAAAAAUGCUUCAUUAUGUGAGAGUCUAUUUUGUUUGCCUGAUCUCAGAAGAUGGAGUUGAUAAGUACCUAGGUCUUUGCCUGGCUUCCAGGAAGAAUGAGAUCACUCGGACUUGGAGGAUGGUGAAUGUGGUGAUUUUAUUGAGCAAUGGAGGUGGCUCUCAGCGGGAUGGAUGGGGAGCUGGAAAGGAGAUGGACUCCAGGGG